UCAUUUAAGGUGGUUUGGAAACGCGUCAUUUCAGGUGGUUCUAAUUGCUGAUACUAUGCCUCUAAAAAUUGGAUCUCAUUACAGAAAUAAAUUUUUUUACUCAGGUGUAAUGUAGCAAUGUAUAUUCAAUCUUCACAUAAUUAAAUUAUCAUGCAGAAGUGGAGUCAAUCAUUUAUUCACCGUCACACAGAGUUAACGUAUAACAGUAGGAGCUGUAUGCGUAUAUCUCUGCUCUCAUCACCGCUGCACCGCCGAAAAGUGGCGCCGCUUUAUGAACAACGACUGGAGCAACCAACGAGAGCGACGAGCAACACCAUGAUCGCACGCAGACAGCGUUGGAGACGUCAUAAGAGCGAUGGCUAUGAAUAAAAAAGGAUAAAACACUCGUUAACGACUGAAAAUGUCGCCACAAAAAAUUUGGUGCAGAUUCCGAAAAAAUUAGUAUGAAAUACCAACACAAUUUCACUGCAGAAACUUCAAUAAUGAAGUUAAAGACUAAUGGAACAUAAAUUGUGAUUGAAAAGAACUACGUACAGCGCUAUCCUUCAGGAUAAUUCUUUUGUGAUUAACAAGAAGAGCUUCCAAGGGUUUGAUGACUCUACGCAAAUAAGUCUCAUCACCAUGAUUCUCAUAAAGCCACUGAGCAUCGAGUAUGUCGUGCAUUGUUACCAUUCCGU